rnacentral:rRNA from 1 species
UGCCAGCAGCCGCGGUAAUACGGAGGGUCCAAGCGUUAUCCGGAUUCAUUGGGUUUAAAGGGUGCGCAGGCGGGAAAUUAAGUCAGUGGUGAAAGCCCACAGCUCAACUGUGGAACUGCCAUUGAUACUGAUUUUCUUGAAUGCGGUUGAAGUGGGCGGAAUAUGUCAUGUAGCGGUGAAAUGCUUAGAUAUGACAUAGAACACCAAUUGCGAAGGCAGCUGGCUAAGCUACGAUUGACGCUGAGGCACGAAAGCGUGGGGAGCGAACAGGAUUAGAUA